rnacentral:lncRNA from 1 species
AACUUGACACAUAAUAACUGCUCUGCUGUCCAAAAAAAUAAGGGUCUUAUUCUGAAGAGGUCACAGCCUAAUCAGAUGCGAUGUGGACUCAGAUGCAAGGGGAAAUGAAGAAGGAAAAUGCUGGACUCUUUGACCUCCGUGAUGACGUCACUGAUGACACUGAGGUGGUUUUACUGAAGUUUGCCCUAUUCAAGCACUGUGGCUAAGGAGCCUAAGCUGUCUUGUCAGAUCCUCACAGCCUUCUGAAGCAUCAAGGUGUAAGAGGGGUCAUUUUGCCUAGGAUAAUGCCAGGUUUCCUGCUCACCCUGUGUCCAUUGCUCUCGACUCUUGAGGCUGGAGAAAAUGCACUAAGUGGGACCUUGUUGCUGCUCAGAACCACAUUUUGGAAGACUUUAUUUGCUGAAAAUAUUCUGCUCAGCUUGAAUUCCAUGAACUUUGAGAAUCUUUUUCUCUGGCCCAGUCUAAACCAGAGAGAAAGAUUGGCUUCACAGAAGUGGAUUCACACCAGUCUGUUAGCUCUUUGUGCCACUCCAUAUGGCCCCACUCCUCACUAUUUGCAAAAAGUUGCCACAAACUACUAGAUGUGUUCAUCCAUAUCUUCUGAAGUGCGGUGGAGUAGAGAAGCCCUUGCACAGUGUCUUCUAAGGGUGAGCUUAUAGUUCUGCUGCCUGGUGGGAGAGCGAGGUAUUAUCUUGGCUCCUGUGGUGCACAGUGCUGCAUUUUAAGGGUAUUAACUUUCAAUUUUUAAUACACCGUCUGCUUUGACUGCAUCUGUAUCCAGUGAGAAAUGCCAUCCCUAACCAUGCUG